UAAUAAAGGGUUAUAUUAAUCUUUAUCAAACUGAAUUGUAUUGAUAAUUGUGAUAUAAAAUCAAUUUCGUUUUUUUUAAAGAAAUCGUAACACACGCACGAACGGAAGUGAGCACGGACCACAACAGAAGCAAUAUUCAAUUGGUUGGAGUGCCGAAAACAGAACAGGAGAGGAAAGAAGGCAGGAACGAUCCGAUCCUCCAACGUGCUAGCGCCUGGUAGAGGAGAAGCGGCAGGAAGGUAGAGACGAACAUCCAGCUCGCUAGUGCAGCACGUGGGAGCAGCAAGAGGGAAGCAAGCAGGACGCGUACACACCAUUCGACGAAGGCAAAGCUGGAGGAAAGGAAGAACGAGGAGAGAAGGCAGGCAAGACGGGUACGUGUGUAUCCCGCACCGGUUUUAGGCAGUGUGAAUUGUGUGAGUAUGUAAAUAUGUAUGUGCGAGUAAGAAGGUAAAAUAAAGAGCGUAAGCAUGUGCAGAAUGGACAAAAGAGA